rnacentral:rRNA from 1 species
GACGGAGGGUGCAAGCGUUGUCCGGAAUCACUGGGUGUAAAGGGUGUGUAGGCGGGCUGGCAAGUCGGGGGUGAAACCUCCUCGCCCAACGGGGAGACUGCCUUCGAUACUGCCGGUCUUGAGUCCCGGAGAGGCCGCUGGAAUUCGUGGUGUAGCGGUGAAAUGCGUAGAUAUCACGAGGAAUACCGGUUGCGGAGGCGGGUGGCUGGACGGGUACUGACGCUGAGGCACGAAAGCGUGGGGAGCAAACAGG